AGGACGAACGCUGGCGGCACGCUUAACACAUGCAAGUCGAACGAGGUUCAAGGAGCUUGCUCCUGAAGAUCUAGUGGCGAACGGGUGCGUAACACGUGAGAAACCUGUCCCGAACUUGGGAAUAACAGCCGGAAACGGCUGCUAAUACCGAAUAUCUUCGUAACGUCGCAUGGCGAAUCGAAGAAAGCUUUAUGCGGUUUGGGAGGGUCUCGCGGCCUAUCAGCUAGUUGGUGAGGUAAUGGCUCACCAAGGCAUCGACGGGUAGCUGGUCUGAGAGGAUGAUCAGCCACACUGGGACUGAGACACGGCCCAGACUCCUACGGGAGGCAGCAGUGGGGAAUAUGCACAAGUGGGACGAAAGCCUGAUGCAGCGAUGGCCGCGUGCGGGAAGACGGCCCGUAGGGUUCGUAAACCGCGUUUACAGGUAGGGAAGAAAAGUGAACGGUACCUAACAGAAGAAGGUGACCGGACCAACGUACGUGACCGAGCCGAGCCGGAC
rnacentral:rRNA from 1 species